rnacentral:rRNA from 1 species
ACGCUGGCGGCAGGCCUAACACAUGCAAGUCGAACGGUAACAGGAAGCAGCUUGCUGCUUCGCUGACGAGUGGCGGACGGGUGAGUAAUGUCUGGGAAACUGCCUGAUGGAGGGGGAUAACUACUGGAAACGGUGGCUAAUACCGCAUAACGUCGCAAGACCAAAGAGGGGGACCUUCGGGCCUCUUGCCAUCAGAUGUGCCCAGAUGGGAUUAGCUUGUUGGUGAGGUAACGGCUCACCAAGGCGACGAUCCCUAGCUGGUCUGAGAGGAUGACCAGCCACACUGGAACUGAGACACGGUCCAGACUCCUACGGGAGGCAGCAGUGGGGAAUAUUGCACAAUGGGCGCAAGCCUGAUGCAGCCAUGCCGCGUGUAUGAAGAAGGCCUUCGGGUUGUAAAGUACUUUCAGCGGGGAGGAAGGUGUUGUGGUUAAUAACCGCAGCAAUUGACGUUACCCGCAGAAGAAGCACCGGCUAACUCCGUGCCAGCAGCCGCGGUAAUACGUCGUGACUGGGAAACCCCCUGGCGA